GAUGAAGAACGUAGUGAAAUGCGACAAGUAAUGUGAAUUGCAGAAUUCAGUGAAUCAUCGAAUCUUUGAACGCACAUUGCGCCCCUUGGUAUUCCGGGGGGCAUGCCUGUUCGAGCGUCAUUAUAACCCCUCAAGCUCAGCUUGGUGUUGGGGCCUGCCGACUGGCAGCCCUUAAAAUCAGUGGCGGCGCCAUCUGGCUCUAAGCGUAGUAAUUUCUCUCGCUAUAGAGUCCCGGUGGAUGCUUGCCAGCAACCCCCAACUUUCUAUGGUUGACCUCGGAUCAGGUAGGGAUACCCGCUGAACUUAAGCAUAUCAAUAAGCGGAGGA
rnacentral:misc_RNA from 1 species